UACGAGGGGGCGAGCGUUGUUCGGAAUCACUGGGCGUAAAGAGUGCGUAGGCGGUUAUAAAAGUUAGGAGUGAAAGCCCCAGGCUCAACUUGGGAAUUGCUCUUAAUACUAUAUAACUCGAAUUCGGGAGAGGAUAGCGGAAUUGUCAGUGUAGCAGUGAAAUGCGUAGAUAUUGACAGGACACCAGUGGCGUGAAGCGGCUAUCUGGACCGACAUUGACGCUGAGGCACGAAAGCGUGGGGAUCAAACAGG
rnacentral:rRNA from 1 species